GUCUACGGCCAUACCACCCUGAACAUGCCCGAUCCUGUCUGAUCUCGGAAGCUAGGCAUUGUCGGGCCUGGUUAGUACUUGGAUGGGAGACCACCUAAGAAGACCAGGUGCUGUAGGCA
rnacentral:rRNA from 1 species